rnacentral:lncRNA from 1 species
AUUUUCUUAUGCAAUAAAUAUUAUAGAAUUUGCCUAUAUCAUUACCACAUACUAGACAUAACUAUCAUUACAUCACAAACCAUUCAUGAAGCAUUAUUAACUAUUUACCAAUCACUUAAUCCUGCAUUAGUUACUAGCUCAUCAAUGAAUCUCAAUUCAAUCUCUAGGCAUACAUGUUGUAAGCCACAUCACAAGAAAUAAUAACAUAAAUGCAUAAGAAUAAUCAUAUGGGCCCAUAACGAUAUUAGCCGACAUAGGCCAAUUUACAUAACUAAUACUACCUUAAUAACAAGCCAAUGCCUUUGGCUAAAUCAUAAUAUUACAUACUCACAUUAAAACCCUAUACAUGCCAUAGACUCGAAUCACUUGAGUUUACUUACUCCGAUAACGUUAACUCGAUAGGGUGAUAAUAUCUCUGACGGCCUCCAACCCGAGCUAACCUGGAUACUCUAAAAAACAUGGGAAAGAAAGGGGGUAAGCUUUCGCUUAGUAAGUUCAUAUGAAAACAAUAAGCAACUCAUUAACUUGUUUUAUCAAUGUUUACAACAUAUUCUCAAGUUCACUACAAGUUGUCUUCCUGAGCAACAGUCACUAAAUUAUUUAUAUCUGGAGCUACGAAACUAUGAAUUAAGUUUUGUUAAUUUUCC